rnacentral:misc_RNA from 1 species
GGGAAGUGAUGUAGUGUAUGUCAAUAAGGAUGGGGAGGAAUCACAGUUUUAUGUGCCUGAAGUCAAGGGCAAUCGGCUGAGAGGAGGACCGCAAAUGAUCCAGUUGAGCUUGGACGGGAAGAGACUCUACGCGACCAACUCCCUCUUUAGCGCAUGGGAUCGCCAGUUCUACCCAGAUCUUAUGAAGCAGGGUUCCCACAUUUUACAGAUCGACGUGAACACAGAGAGUGGAGGACUGUCCUUAAACCCAGACUUCUUCGUCGAUUUCGGGUCUGAACCUGGCGGUCCCUCGCUGGCUCAUGAAAUGAGGUACCCUGGCGGUGACUGCACUUCAGAUAUAUGGAUUUGAGGUUGCAGUGCAGCUUUUCCUAUGUGCUGGAGGGAGAAUGGAAGGAUUAACUCAACCAGGUGUAUAUUCACUAGGAAAAGGCCUCAGGAAUGUGUGAGAGGGAUUACUGUAUUAUUAUCAAUA